GACGUAGGGGGCCAGCGUUGCUCGGAAUUACUGGGUGUAAAGGGUUCGUAGGCGGUGCGGCAAGUUGGGAGUGAAAUCUCUGGGCUCAACCCAGAGGCUGCUUCCAACUGCUGUGCUUGAGUGUGGGAGAGGCGCGUGGAAUUGCAGGUGUAGCGGUGAAAUGCGUAGAUAUCUGCAGGAACACCCGUGGCGAAAGCGGCGCGCUGGACCACAACUGACGCUGAGGAACGAAAGCUAGGGGAGCAAACAGG
rnacentral:rRNA from 1 species